UACGUAGGCAGCAAGCGUUGUUCGGAAUUACUGGGCGUAAAGAGUGUGUAGGCGGUGCUCUAAGUUCGGUGUGAAAUCUCCCGGCUUAACUGGGAGGGUGCGCCGGAAACUGGAGUGCUUGAGCGCGGGAGAGGAAAGCGGAAUUCCUGGUGUAGCGGUGGAAUGCGCAGAUAUCAGGAAGAACACCGGUGGCGAAGGCGGCUCUCUGGGCCUUACCUGACGCUGAGGAGCGAAAGCGUGGGUAGCGAACAGG
rnacentral:rRNA from 1 species